rnacentral:rRNA from 1 species
CCUACGGGUGGCAGCAGUGGGGAAUAUUGGGCAAUGGGCGCAAGCCUGACCCAGCAACGCCGCGUGAAGGAAGAAGGCUUUCGGGUUGUAAACUUCUUUUGUCAGGGACGAAGCAAGUGACGGUACCUGACGAAUAAGCCACGGCUAACUACGUGCCAGCCGCCGCGGUAAUCCGUAGGUGGCAGUCGUUAUCCGGAUUUAUUUGGUGUAAAGGGCGUGUAGGCAGGAAGGCAAGUCAGAUGUGAAAACUAUGGGCUAAACCCAUAGCCUGCAGUUGAAACUGUCUUUCUUGAGUGCUGGAGAGGCAAGCGGAAUUCCGUGUGUAGCGGUGAAAUGCGUAGAUAUACGGAGGAACACCAGUGGCGAAGGCGGAUUGCUGGAGAGUAACUGACGCUGAGGCGCGAAAGCGUGGGGAGCAAACAGGAUUAGAUACCCUAGUAGUC